CCUACGGGGGGCAGCAGUGAGGAAUAUUGGUCAAUGGGCGGAAGCCUGAACCAGCCAAGUAGCGUGCAGGAUGACGGCCCUACGGGUUGUAAACUGCUUUUAUACGGGAAUAACGCGCCUUACGUGUAGGGCUUUGCAUGUCCCGUAUGAAUAAGGACCGGCUAAUUCCGUGCCAGCAGCCGCGGUACUACGGAAGGUCCGGGCGUUAUCCGGAUUGAUUGGGUUUAAAGGGAGCGUAGGCCGCAUGUCAAGCGUGCUGUGAAAUGUCCGGGCUCAACCCGGGCCUUGCAGCGCGAACUGGCGUGCUUGAGGCCGCGGAAAGGAGGCGGGAUUCGGCGGGGAGCGGGGAAAUGCUUA
rnacentral:rRNA from 1 species